CAGGGCGUGCGUGAAUGCAGCGGGGCUCUUUCAGAGCUGUCACAAAUCUGGCGAUCAACACAUCACCGAGCGCAUCAGCGGUGCUCAGGCACCUAAACGGGCUCUCCUGGUUGCAGGAUCCCAAAUUUACCCCGUGGCUACCUGCGAGCCAGACCCCCCCCAGCACCCCCACCCCCGGGGACUCACGUUUGUAGCUGGCGGCCCAGGGCUGGUAGCCGUAGUAGCCGGUGAUGCGCAGGAUCCGCUCCUCGAUGGAGGUGAGCCCCACGGAGGCGCUGGUGAGGUCCUCCACGGAGCGGGACCACUUGAGGUCCUCCUUGAUGGCCUCGUCCACCACCAGGCGUUUGGCAGCACGAUGGAGCGCCCUGCCAGGCACACACACCAAUGCACGAAGGUGACCUGGGCUAAGCUACUGUCAUUUCAAGGUGCAAAUGGAAUGAUGGAUGACCAUUAAUAUUUUCUCCUGUCAUGCAACAACAGACCUCAAAAGGACUGUAGGAGGUGUCAAAGACAGAAAAUACAGAACAGCAGAUCUCUUCAGUGUCCUGUAUUUUGAGAAAUGCCAGAGGCAUAAAUCCCAAAGCCAAUCUGUGCUCUACAUAUAGUUGGUAUCUGCCAUGAUGUUGUGCCAUUUCAAGAAAUUUAUACCAGAAAUAAAGGACUACAAAACAAGGAUUAAGGAAAGACUAAUUACUGGUCUUGCAAGUUUUCUGCAUUUGUCUAUCGUUUCUACUUUGUCCUUUUCACUUCACUGACUGUAGUAUGAGUUUGUCUGAAAGGAGAGUCAAACAAUCUGGGAAUAAGGAAAAGGGGGAAAACAUGGCAACAGCUAUCUACCCUGGCUAACCCAGGAAGACCAACAAAAGAAAUAAUAGAAAAACAGCCAUGAAGAUUUAGGGGAGAGAAUGAAAGACUCUGGACAGAACAAGAAAGAAAACCUUUAAUGGAUUUGUGCUCAGGGAAGGCUUUAAUGAAUCAGAACACAACAUUCAUACUGCAUUUAAAGUUUCUUAUCUGGAAAAUGUGCUAGCCCCAAGAAAAAUCUGAUAAUUCUCACCCUUCAGAUAAGCUUUUGUUUUUCUAGUUUUGAAGGGUUUUUUUUAAAGUUGUCAGUUUUUGAUGCAGAAAAUGGGUUGCUAGGCUUGGAUUGCACAGCUUUCUUGGCAAGGUAAUUUCUGAAGAGAAUAGAACACCUGGAGACUGAUUUGACAGGCAAUUUCUGUUGUAUAAAAUUAAUGGCAGCUGUUUGAAGCUGCUCAUGUGUCUGAAACACUAAGAAUCCCAUAGCUGAAUUUUUGGUCUAGCACAGUAUGAGGCGUAGCCACUUCCAUAUACGCAUUUUGAAUCUAGUUCAUAAGUUAACCACACAUUUUUUCCCAGUUCUUCAGGAAAUAAUUUUGGAAGCUACUACACAUUCUGCUACACCAACCCAGACCCCAGUUCAACCGCAUUUCUCUACAAUAUACAGAAAGGUGGUUUCUCUUACACUUUAUCACCUACAGUGGUUAUAUUUCAUCAUAUCAUAGCUAAUGACAGUGUCCCACUGCACCUU